ensembl:misc_RNA Metazoa_SRP Metazoan signal recognition particle RNA
GCUGGGCGUGGUGGCUCACACCUGUAAUCCCAGCACUUUGGGAGGCUGAGGCGGGAGGAUCACCUGAGGUCAGGAGUUCAAGACCAGCCUGACCAACAUGGCGAAACCCCGUCUCUA